rnacentral:lncRNA from 1 species
UAAAUACUGUUAUAUCUCGUUGAAGCCUUACUUUAAAUACCGGUAUAUCUCUUUCAUCAGUAAUAAUAACUCGUUGAGUCAAAAUCACUAGCCCAAAAUACUUAAAUUCAGUUAUUAUAUUUAGCCCAAUCAAACUCAUAUAAUUCCAUAUUUAGUCAUAACUAUCCGAUGUGAGACUAUUAGGGUGUCAUGUACCCCCCCAUCUUAAAUUUGACCCCUCAACUAUUUUUUUUUUAAUUUUUCAUUUUUGGUAUUCACUGCAACCAUUUUUACUAU